rnacentral:rRNA from 1 species
ACACGUAUCCAACCUUCCGUUUACUCAGGGAUAGCCUUUCGAAAGAAAGAUUAAUACCUGAUAGUAUGGUGAGAUUGCAUGAUAGCACCAUUAAAGAUUUAUUGGUAAACGAUGGGGAUGCGUUCCAUUAGGUAGUAGGCGGGGUAACGGCCCACCUAGCCGACGAUGGAUAGGGGUUCUGAGAGGAAGGUCCCCCACAUUGGAACUGAGACACGGUCCAAACUCCUACGGGAGGCAGCAGUGAGGAAUAUUGGUCAACGGGCGAGAGCCUGAACCAGCCAAGUAGCGUGAAGGAUGAAGGUCCUACGGAUUGUAAACUUCUUUUAUACGGGAAUAAAGUAUCCUACGUGUAGGAUUUUGUAUGUACCGUAUGAAUAAGCAUCGGCUAACUCCGUGCCAGCAGCCGCGGUAAUACGGAGGAUGCGAGCGUUAUCCGGAUUUAUUGGGUUUAAAGGGAGCGCAGACGGGAGAUUAAGUCAGUUGUGAAAGUUUGCGGCUCAACCGUAAAAUUGCAGUUGAUACUGGUUUCCUUGAGUGCAGUUGAGGCAGGCGGAAUUCGUGGUGUAGCGGUGAAAUGCUUAGAUAUCACGAAGAACCCCGAUUGCGAAGGCAGCUUGCUAAACUGUAACUGACGUUCAUGCUC